rnacentral:lncRNA from 1 species
CAAGAAGCACCUCGAGGUUGAUGCAGCAGUCGACAGCCGCUGGGCAGCUCGGAGGGGGGAAGGAAAGGACUGCAGGAUUGCGCACCCUGUCCAGCCGCCGGCGUGUCUUCGUGCAUGCCUGCUCCCCAAUCGCAAAAACCGGUGUUUGUCCUUCCUUCGCUCAUUUCCCGGGACCAGCUCACACUUUGGACGCUAGUCUGGGCUGAUGUGCGGUGAUUCCUGUUCUCCGUGGCUUUUAGGCAUAUAGUUAUUGCCCUCGGGCCUUCGGCUCAUAUGGGUAGGGUACAACAGGUAUGGGGUCACGCACCCCCAACCAUGUAACACACGCAACACGCAGUGGCCGG